rnacentral:lncRNA from 1 species
GACGGCGACGACUGGGAUCCCACGCUCGAGCCCGACGAGCUGGGCGAGCUCGACAGUGAGGUCAUCCGCACUGCCCACCACGAUUGUGAACAGAACAAGAAGGUUGACCCUCUCGCUCUGUUUUUUUCUUUUCUUUCCAAGUGAUGAUUGCUCUACUCUAGCAUAGUUCCCCAGGGGCUCCCAAAUUUACUUGGACUGAACUUGAUGCAGAAAACGUGGUCACUUCCUUUCCUGAUACCUGCAUGUUACAGCCAACGAUAGACUAGAACUGCUGGCUAUUUUAUUUUUUCUUCUCUGACCGUGCGAGUCUAGCAGUGAAAAAUUUGUGAGAUCUGCUAGUUAGUUAAGAGACUACUAGUUUAAUAAGAUGUUCCUGUUGGUUCCUUGGAAUUUUCUUAUUUAUGAGGGGAAAAUAAUUCAUUUAUCUCACUGAAUCCAUUGACCAAGAGUAGAUUGUUUGUUAACUAGGCCUGCUAUUACAUUUAUUUUCUGUUAUGUGGUGAAAAUAGCCAUCAUAUUGAUUCCCAAUUUAUGCCAGAUGAAUUUUCAUGCUAUUGUACCGAGAUGAUGGUGGUGCUCGUUGCCAUGGAAUUCUUGGUUGAUCACAUUUGUUAUCUGCAAAUAUACGUGUUGUAUUUUUGUAUCUUUUGUUAUGAAAGACAUUUCCCUUUGGAAGAAGAACACUACUUGAAGAAAAAGGGGAAGCCAAAAUAGCUGACGACUAUGUAUUCUGGGGUUUGUUUUGUUUCGAGCCAAAGCUGGCCUUACUGCUAGCAUCCCCACAUAUUAUGCUUGGAUGUUACAUGAGCUAGAAAAUUAAUUAGCUAGCCUGUAUGCUUACGCCUCCAUGGAUCGUAUCGAUCCAGCCGGCUAAUACGUGGGUGUUUCACUCAGCAAACAUGCAUGCAUGCUGCUUCAUUGAGCCUUUUUUCUGCCCCUUUUCGGUUUGGUCAUCAUGAUUUAUUGGCUCCUUAUAUAAACAUUUCAAGUUAGGACCUCAAAUGCUCAUUUGCUAAAGAAAAAGAAAAGACACCUCAGAUAUAGAUAUGUGGCAUGCAGUACUGGUGGCAUGUUAAUUGGCUAGAAACCAAACAGCGACCCAACCAUUUUGCCCAAAAAUUGGUAGAUGCUAUGGCUAUAAUCCAAACAACACUACCACACCAAAAUUUUGGUCAUGCCCUCGCUUUGGCUGCCAAAAUUUUGGCAGGGCAUGUUGGGGCACAAACCAAACAGCCUUCUGAUUUCUCAGUUAUUAUUAACAUCAAAAUUUGGUACAAGUCACUCUCGAUUGUUCCUGGAUUUAUGCCAAGCUUCUUAUACAAUCGUUGGUAUUAUUUUUUAUAUGCGUAACUAGAAGUAGCUGGUGUCCUUUUACUUUAUCAGCUUAUAUAAUUGAUGCGUACAAGUAGCUCCUGAUCUUUGCUCAAUUUAAUAUAUAUCACAAGUAGCUCGUGAUCUUUACUUUAUGGGGGGAUGUUAUGUACUAAACGCCUCCAUCCAGAACAGUAGUAAACAUAAACUUUCUGCCGCCCUUUACUCUGUUUUAUUUAUUUAUAAUAGAAACUGGUGUAGAGUUAGAUACGUGUAGUGCUUGAAGAUUUUUCCUCUUAAUUAGAUAUGGUGCCCAACAUUUGGUAAUGUUAUAAACCCAGGUAUAUGGUCUUUGUAGCUUUUAUCCUUCAGUGAGUGUUGGUGCAUUGACUGUAAGAUAAAAUUGUUCAUUUUCAUUUUUUCGUAUAAUAAUGAGCAUAUGAAAUGGAAUAUCUUGAGUCCAGGCAUCAUUAGUAGGGGUUACUUACAGUAUGAAAUGAUUAUACCAAGUUUCGUUGACAGGUUAUAUGGACUCAACUACAGCUGCUAUAGUAAUCAGUUUUGUGAUGUGUGUUUUGUUACUUUGCCAUUUGACACAUUUUUCUUUGUAUUAAUUUUAAGAAACCUCAUGUUUACUCUUGUUUUAUAGUGGAUGUUAAUCUCAUUUCUAGGCACGGUAAGGUUUAAGAAUGUUGGACAUUUAAUUCAUUUUUAUAUUUGUUGCAAUUAUAUUAUUUCUACUAUCUAUUCAUCUCUGUUAAAAAAAUCUAAGGUUCUUGUAAAUAUCCAGGUAAGAUUGGGAAGAUGGCUACUUGAUGCUGCCCAUCACAGUUAGCCACGACAUGAUGGUUGCCAUAAGGAGGGCUGAUAGCAAGAACCUAAAUAUCGACCUCGAUAGUUUGUAUGUUCUGCUGAUGUAAAAUGAACUGUACUCGUUCCUAACUGUGAUGUGUGAUUUUUUAUUCAAUCUAUAUUGUAAGUUAUCAUUUUGUAGAGGAUUUUGUAAACUGCUACAUUGUAAAUAUAUACAUAUGGCUGCAUAUUUGUUGAACUGUGUAAUGUUAUACACUUUGCAAAUACUUGUUAUUGGGCCACGCAUUAUGCUAAAAAUGUAUCAAGUAAAAAUUG